rnacentral:rRNA from 1 species
AUUGAACGCUGGCGGAAUGCUUUACACAUGCAAGUCGAACGAUGAACCUUAGCUUGCUAAGGGGAUUAGUGGCGAACGGGUGAGUAAUAUAACGGAACGUACCUUGUAAUGGGGGAUGACUAGUCGAAAGAUUAGCUAAUACCGCAUACGCCCUGAGGGGGAACGUAGGGGAUCUUCGGACCUUACGUUAUAAGAGCGGCCGAUAUCUGAUUAGCUAGUUGGUGGGGUAAUGGCCUACCAAGGCGACGAUCAGUAGCUGGUCUGAGAGGACGACCAGCCACACUGGAACUGAGACACGGUCCAGACUCCUACGGGAGGCAGCAGUGGGGAAUUUUGGACAAUGGGCGCAAGCCUGAUCCAGCCAUUCCGCGUGAGUGAAGAAGGCCUUCGGGUUGUAAAGCUCUUUCGCAAGGGAAGAAAACUUACAUUCUAAUAAAGUGUGAGGCUGACGGUACCUUGAUAAGAAGCACCGGCUAACUACGUGCCAGCCGCCGCCGUAA